UACGUAGGGCGCAAGCGUUAUCCGGAAUUAUUGGGCGUAAAGAGCUCGUAGGCGGUUUGUCGCGUCUGCCGUGAAAGUCUGGGGCUCAACCUCGGGUCUGCAGUCGAUACGAGCAAACUAGAGUGUUGCAGGGGAGACUGGAAUUCCUGGUGUAGCGGUGAAAUGCGCAGAUAUCAGGAGGAACACCCGUGGCGAAAGCGGCUCUCUGGGACGGUACUGACGCUGAGACGCGAAAGCGUGGGGAGCAAACAGG
rnacentral:rRNA from 1 species